UCGCCCUUCCCUCGCUACCCAUACGACCACCGUAUCAGGGACAUCUUCCCCAACGACCACCUCAGCUCCUCGACUUCCCACGACCCCGACAGCCUCCGUGCCUUCCCUGGCGUAGAACAGACGCCCCCACCGCCGCCACAGGAACGCCAUGAACCACACCAGGGAACGAGCCAUGAGAACGGAACGCAUGAACCGGUGCAUGAGGACGACCAAGCCAGAUUCUCGCCCCAGCUGAACGUGACCCGAGUAGAGGAUUCGUACCAGUCAGGCCCAAGUAGCGUCCUGAGGGUGAGCUUACUCGAGGGGGAGCUCGCCCUUGACCCCGCGGAGUGGAAGGUCGCGCACAAGUUCAAGGGCUUUCUGGGAAGGAAGACCAAACUCUUAACCCGCGAGACUGAUGACCUGGCGUAUCCACGACCUUACUUGGCAACAGAAGAGCUUUUGCACCUGUACACUUCCCCGUGACCUCGCCUGACCUCUUGCGUUCGGCUCUCGAGUCACCAGCUGUUUUAGAGUCAGCUGAGUCCAUAAAAUCUUUGGUUGAUGUCUCGUAGUGUGCUGGGUGGCUUCCGUGUCAGUUGGAGAGAGGUGGUUGUGGCCUAUGUAGAAAGGGGAUGGGCGAGAAUUAAUGAUUUUCACUUC